UUAAGUUCAGCGGGUAUCCCUACCUGAUCCGAGGUCAAACCAUAGAAAAUGUGGUUCUUAUAGGGCGGGUGCCGUCCGGUCUCCGAAGCGGGUAGAAUUGACUACGCUGGGAGCUCGGCCGCCACCGCCUACGAGUUUCGGGCACGUCCGGUGAAGGACGAGGCCCAACACCAAGCAGAAGCUUGAGGGUUGAAAUGACG
rnacentral:misc_RNA from 1 species